GCUGGGUGAGGUGGCUUAUGCCUGUAAUCCCAGCAUUUGGGAGGCCAAGGCAGGGGGAUUGCUUGAGCCUAGGAGUUUGAGACCAGCCUACACAACAUGGAAAAACCCUGUUUCCACUAAAAAUACAAAAUUUAGCUGGGCAUGUUGGUGCAUGCCUGUAGUCCCAGCUACUCAGGAAGCUGAGGCAGGGGGAUUGCUUAAGCUUAGGAGGUCAAGGCUGCAGUGAGCCGGGAUUGUGCCACUGCACUCCAGCCUGGGUGACAGAGCAAGACCCUGUCU
rnacentral:lncRNA from 10 species